CCUCCACUCGCACCCGACUCACUGCCCUCGUUCGCGGCCGCCCUCCAUCCCUUCGCCGCUGCCAAGACCCCGCCGGAUCUUACCACCGUCGAUCUCCUCGAGAAGACCCUGUCGGAUCUCACCGUCGCCGAUCUCCUCGAGAAGACCCUGCCGGAUCUCACCGCCGUCGAUCUCCUCGCGAAGAUCCCGCCGGAUCUCGCUGCCGCCGUAACUCCAUAAAGCCGCCGCCGCCGAUCCCCUCCAGAAAACCCCGUCGAUCCCCUCCGGAAGACCCCGCCGGAUCUUGCAUCGGGGCCACGGUUCUGGAUCGCCGUCGCAGGGCGGUUUCAACCAGAGCCGGCGGCCUUGAGGAGAGGAGCUCGACGAGCGGGCAGGGUGACCCCGUGCCUUGGAGACGGCGACCCUCAACCCCUUGCUGCUGUGGUGCACUGGGCACAUCUGUGACGAGGAGGAGGCGAGCCACAAUUCAUCACCUUCCUCGUCUCUCUCAUGGCUGUGCACAAGGAUGUCCGCACCCCGAGCCGAGCUCUGUUUGACCGGAGGACAAGCAGAGGAAAGGCGAACAGGGGUGAUGACGUGGCUCCUGAGCAAGGUGAACAUCGCCUUUAAGGCGAGCGGUGGCGCCUUGCAGGUUGGAGUGCAGCUUUCAGAUAUCUUUAUUUCCUUGGGAUAGUUGGAAUGGAAUACUAUGACUAGAUAUACAAUGGUAUUGUUAUCAGUGUUCGGCCUUCAAUGAUUUCGGUGCAGCAUGUCUAGACCAUCAACGGCAAUUUGAGCUCCUUAGUGAAGUAGGUUUGUAAGGCAUUGCUUCAACUCAAGAAAAUCAAUGGCCACAAUUGGGAAGUUGACUGACAAUCCAAAGAGAGUGCCAAUUUUCAAUCUCGUGUUUAGGUGCUUACAUCAAUCUCGUGCAUAGUCUCAAUCACCACCACCGGGGCAGCUACUUCUGCUGGCAGGGGCUGGGCGCUGCCGUGAGGAUGCUAUCACCCAUGCGCGCAGUGAUGGCAUGGUGGCCGAAGAAGGCCGUCUUCUGGGGAGCCGCGCUGGCCGCCAUCUCCACCCGCGGCCACACCAAUAAGACAGGUGAUUUUAGGGUUGGUUCUGUCUAAAACCAAGCUGGCAGUAAUAUGCAGAGAAGGUUCGCCUGACAUAAUGACCAACGAGAGCAAGUUGUUUUUUCUUGAUGAAAAUGAUAGCUACCACUUGAUGAGAUUUAGCAAUACAAGCAUUUCCUCUAAUUUUAUUUGUAGGUCUGCAGGAGGUGCCUUUGAGAACUUGAUCAGCUACUCGAGCUUCAUUGUCAGCGAAGUCUCCACUGGGUUGCCCAGAUCUGUCCUGAAUUGCUUCAUUGAUGACAAUUUGGAGAAGGCUUCGCUGACACUUACAAAGGAUGUUUUCCUUUGUUGGAAAGCCGAGGUUACGCUGGAGAUAGACAUGGGGUGGUAAGAAAAUGAUGAGUUCCUGAUGAUAUUAUGCUUGCUGGUCUAAACCUACAUGUAUUAUGUCAGUUUGUUGUUAAGAGUAUCUUGAAAAUAUAAAGCUACUGGGUGGCCAGACAUUCUAUACUAUCGUCUUUCCAAGAGCCCACAUUUCUGCAUGUAUAUAUUUGUUGUACAGCCUAUGCUGGUUUGCCUACAAUAAUUAUCAGAAGGUAAUAUGCAGCAGCCAAAUUCUCUC